rnacentral:rRNA from 1 species
CUGUGCAAAGGUAGCAUAAUCAUUAGCUUUUUAAUUGAAGGCUUGUAUGAAGGGUCUGACAAAGAAAAAGCUGUCUUUAAAAUUAUUUUUGAAUUUAACUUUUAAGUGAAAAGGCUUAAAUAAAUUUAAGGGACGAUAAGACCCUAUAAAUCUUUAUAUUAAAUUAUUAUUCUGAAUUUUAAUAUUUGUUUAGAUUAUUAGUUAUAAUAAUAAAUAUUUUGUUGGGGUGACGAGAAUAUAAAAUUAACUGUUCUUAAAAAAAAACAAAGUUAUUUGUUGAAAAAUUUAUAGAUCCUUUUUAAAGAUUAAAAGUUUAAGUUACUUUAGGGAUAACAGCGUUAUUUUUUUUGAGAGUUCUUAUCGAAAAAAAAGUUUGCGACCUCGAUGUUGAAUUAAAAUUUCUCUACGGUGUAGAAGUUGUGGAAGAGAGUCUGUUCGACUUUUGAAAUUUU